GACGAACGCUGGCGGCGUGCUUAACACAUGCAAGUCGAGCGGUAAGGCCUUUCGGGGUACACGAGCGGCGAACGGGUGAGUAACACGUGGGCGACCUGCCCUCAGCUCUGGGAUAAGCCUGGGAAACUGGGUCUAAUACCGGAUAUGACCACAUGUCGCAUGGUGUGUGGUGGAAAGUUUGUUCUUAAUUGGACACUUCGGCUGGGGAUGGGCCCGCGGCCUAUCAGCUUGUUGGNGGGGUGAUGGCCUACCAAGGCGACGACGGGUAGCCGGCCUGAGAGGGCGACCGGCCACACUGGGACUGAGAUACGGCCCAGACUCCUACGGGAGGCAGCAGUGGGGAAUAUUGCGCAAUGGGCGGAAGCCUGACGCAGCGACGCCGCGU
rnacentral:rRNA from 1 species